rnacentral:lncRNA from 1 species
GUUGAUUUUAAGUUAAGCAUACAUAAACAACUGAAAUUACUACAAAAAGAGUCUCUUGGAGCUAUAGGUUACUAGGAUCAAGUUCCUGUUGCAAAGUGGGAAAUUCCGGAUCUUCUCCUCGCAUUGGGGGCAAUAACAUAAAGGAUGGUUAUCUCCCAAACCGGAUUUGUAUUUAGCAAAUAAGUUUUGAUCCAAAGGGUUCUUGAAAAAUGGUAGUUGCUUCCCAUUAAUGGCUUUAAAC